CACGGGGGGAGCAAGCGUUGUUCGGAAUCACUGGGCGUAAAGGGCGUGUAGGCGGUCAAGUAAGUGGAAUGUGAAAUGCCCCGGCUCACCCGGGGACCUGCAUCCCAAACUGCUUGGCUUGAGUAUGGGAGAGGAUGAGGGAAUUCCUGGUGUAGCGGUGAAAUGCGUAGAUAUCAGGAGGAACACCGGUGGCGAAAGCGCUCAUCUGGCCCAAUACUGACGCUGAGGCGCGAAAGCUAGGGGAGCAAACGGG
rnacentral:rRNA from 1 species